rnacentral:rRNA from 1 species
GACGAACGCUGGCGGCGUGCCUAAUACAUGCAAGUAGAACGCUGAAGAGAGGAGCUUGCUCUUCUUGGAUGAGUUGCGAACGGGUGAGUAACGCGUAGGUAACCUGCCUUGUAGCGGGGGAUAACUAUUGGAAACGAUAGCUAAUACCGCAUAACAAUGGAUGACACAUGUCAUUUAUUUGAAAGGGGCAAUUGUUCCACUACAAGAUGGACCUGCGUUGUAUUAGCUAGUAGGUGAGGUAAUGGCUCACCUAGGCGACGAUACAUAGCCGACCUGAGAGGGUGAUCGGCCACACUGGGACUGAGACACGGGCCAGACUUCUACGGGAGGCAGCAGUAGGGAAUCGUCGGCAAUGGGGGCAACCCUGACCGAGCAACGCCGCGUGAGUGAAGAAGGUUUUCGGAUCGUAAAGCUCUGUUGUAAGUCAAGAACGGGUGUGAGAGUGGAAAGUUCACACUGUGACGGUAGCUUACCAGAAAGGGACGGCUAACUACGUG